rnacentral:rRNA from 1 species
ACACUCCUGCGGGAGGCAGCAGUGGGGAAUUUUGGACAAUGGGCGAAAGCCUGAUCCAGCCAUGCCGCGUGCAGGAUGAAGGCCUUCGGGUUGUAAACUGCUUUUGUACGGAACGAAACGGCCUUUUCUAAUAAAGAGGGCUAAUGACGGUACCGUAAGAAUAAGCACCGGCUAACUACGUGCCAGCAGCCGCGGUAAUACGUAGGGUGCAAGCGUUAAUCGGAAUUACUGGGCGUAAAGCGUGCGCAGGCGGUUAUGUAAGACAGUUGUGAAAUCCCCGGGCUCAACCUGGGAACUGCAUCUGUGACUGCAUAGCUAGAGUACGGUAGAGGGGGAUGGAAUUCCGCGUGUAGCAGUGAAAUGCGUAGAUAUGCGGAGGAACACCGAUGGCGAAGGCAAUCCCCUGGACCUGUACUGACGCUCAUGCACGAAAGCGUGGGGAGCAAACAGGAUUAGAUACCCUGGUAGUCCC